UGCUCUGUAUUGGUGCUCCUGGAUCUCAGCUCUGCAUUUGACACAGUCGAUCAUGGCAUUCUUUUGAACAGACUGAACCAGUUGGUGGGGAUCUCUGGGUCUACCCUGGAUUGGUUUUCAUCCUAUCGUACUGACAGGAGUUUUUCAGUUACUGUUGGUCAGUUCACAUCAGACACAGCGUCUUUGUCAUGCGGCGUCCCUCAGGGUUCUGUUCUGGGUCCCAUGUUAUUUUCAUUAUAUAUGCUGCCUCUUGGACAGGUGAGAGCAGCAGGGUCCUGCAGAUGUCUAGCAUCAGACUGCCUGAUGUCUCUCCAACAUGGUGUGCCAGCCUGCUGGAGAUAGCCAAGUACAUCAAAGAAACAGCCAUCCAGACGCCCUCGUAGGUGAUGCCAAUCCUUGCCAGCUUUCGAAUUACAUGCCAAAAUAACACAACCAUCUGAAUUGGAUACCUGACAAAAUCCCUUCAGUACGUUCAUUAUGGAUUUUAAAAAAAUCACUGGAUCAGUGUAUUCCUCCUAGCCCACACUCGAACUAAUUCAAUGCUUCUAAAUCCAUGAGAGGUGGUGAACAAAUGUUUAUGUCAGGAGAGAAUGGACCCUGGAUUGAUUGUCUGCCAAGUCGAGGUCCUACGCUCUAGUCAUGUUUGUUGGUGACUAAAUGGCAGUGACAAUAUCCCUUUACGAAACACAUCUCAGUAUGUCUGUAAUGCCAUCUUCUUUUAGCCGUUAAGACAUGGCUGCUGUAUAGCUGCCUGACUUUAAUCCUUUUUUUGGCCCCAUUCUGUUCCGAACACAUCUCACAGAGCAGGAUGCACUCAGGCUAAAAUGGUAUUGUCUCUGUCUCUCUUGUCAUGUUGGAGAGAUGUAUUUCAACAAAAUCUAGACAGAACUAGGGGCUGCAUAAGUGCCAGUUAUGUAGAUAGGGUUGGUCUGAUACUUUAUUUUUACAAUAACAAGUCCACACUUCAACUUCAAUAUUAACCAUUUAGGCUUUAAAGGUAACACACAUGAGUAAAAAUGUACUAAAGUACUUUUUAAGUUCCUUUUUUAAAACUGCUCAUUACUGGGGUAUAUUUUUACUUCACUUUGCCAUUUAUACCUUUGUUAUAGUAAGUCUGCUUUAAAAGACCAAACAACGGAACUGAGAACCCUUGAAAAGGUGGGUCUCGGUCUGCUUCCAAAUAGACUCUGGUGCGGUUUGUUUGUGGUGUGAAAGACCAACCACAGGAUUUAAUGAUAGCAGAUAUGUGAUUUUAGCAACAGACAAACCAAUAAUAAAUCCAUCUGCUGAUCUUAAAAUCUGUCCAUGAUCUCAUAAUGAUCUCAUCCGGAUAAAGGCAACGUACAUCCCAUUACCUGUUAAUUCUAAUGCGUACAUGUAACCAUGGUAACACAUAUGCAUGUCAGUGAGGAUAUUUUCCCUGAUUAAAAAAUUGUUUAAACUGCCAUUGUAUCCAAUUCGGUGUACUUUGUCUGUUCAUUAAGUCCAUUAAAAAGUGUGUGACAGUGAUCCAACAGUUUAAGCCCUGAAUCAUUACUGUACAAGACACCUUCUUUUCAUUCUGUCUCUAUGUUAGUCAUUACUCAUACAUACCAUUGAUUUCCUGUCUAAUAAUAGCCUACUAAUACUGCUUAAAAUCAGUUGUUUCUCUAUGAGCUCUAUAUCAAACCAAAGAACAUAUAUAGAAACACUUUAGAUGCAUUAAAGUGCUGCUGCAUAAACUUCUGUCAGUCACCAGAAUUUGGUUCCCCCACGUGGGUCCUGAUAAUGCAGGAUGACAAAAACUGUCCAAUAAAUGAGUUAACGUGUCAGUCAGUAGAACGUUUGGUUACUUUGUAAUCUUGGUUCUCUGAGUGAGGAGAUUAUCUUCCCACCCAGUAGUUAUAUCAAAACUAUGGGAAUUAUCCCCAUCUUGGGUAAUCGACAUGGAAAAUUAAUAAUCAUUAAGACACACCACUUUACGUCACCGGCAUGCACCAGGCUACAAAGGCCCCACCUUGCACAUGCACCCACUGAUUAACAUUGAUUGGAAUGGGGACCGAGCGGCCUUGAGCCUGGAGAGAUUAUGUCCUCACUCAGAGAACCAAGGUUACAAAGUAACCGAUCAUUCUCUAUCAUAUCAAGCUUAUCUCCCCACCCAGAAGUUAUGGGAACCCUUUAAGACACACCGUGAAGGGCCCCAGCAGACAGAGCCGAUGCAGGUACACAAGCCCUCCACCUGGUAUUCAGAUGAGACCUCCCUGCCACCAGGUGCAUUAACAACAUAAAAUACCCAAUAGGUGUGUAUAUGACAAAAAAGACCAAUGAACUAUAAACAAAUGUACAACAUCUUGCUCAUUCAAUGGAGUGAGAAGUGUGCCACUGUACCGAUGCCCAGGUGCCAGACGCAACCAUUAGCACGACCAACCCCGCCAGACGCAGGGGAGCCCAUGUAGCAGGUGCACAGAGUGGGUGGCACCCUGCCCCAAGGCCCAUGAGGUGGCUACAUCUGGUGUUGAGUUUGCCCGCGCACCCACCGGUACUGGCAUGCCUGUCCCUCUGUAAGCCUGCUGAAUUGUAUCUGUGACUAAAUGAGACAGCCUAGCCUUCGACACCGGCUGGCCCUAGCACUGGGCCUUAAAGCAAAGAAAGAGUUGGUCUGUCUUUCUAAACGCUGCAGUGCACCGGAUAUAGACCUUCAGGGCUCUAACAGGACAGAGAUUCUUUUUGACCCUCACUACCCUCCUUGGAGGGGGUUGUAGGGUCACAACUCCACCGACUGAAUCAAAAAAUGUCUGUGAGUACUUUUGGCAGGAAUGCAUUGUUUGGACACAACAUGACACCAACGUCAUCUGGCAGGAAACAACAGCUCUUAUCCACUAACAGAGUGUGCAGUUCCCCCACUCUUUCGGCUGAUGUCACUGCUAAGAGAAAAACCACUUUAAGAGACAGCCACUUAAUGCUGACUGACUCCAAGGGCUCAAAAGGUUCCUGCUGCAGGCUUCCUCCUUCCGAACUCUCUGCAGCAGAAACGGGAGGAGAGUGAAAGGGGAAAAUGCAUACAGCAGGCCUUGAGGCCACUGGUGUGCCAUGGCAUCGAUGCCCAGGGGGUAGAGUCCCACCCCAUGGAAAAGGUUCUUACUAGCGUGUGACAGCCUUGCAGACUCAGGAGAAAAUGCUGGAGGGCCAGGUGAAUGGCCCAUUCAAAAAUGAGAGAGCAACUCGUCUAAUAGUUCAGUAUCCUGAGACCCUGCUGCCGCAGAGGCCCCAAGACCGCAUCCAUGCACCUGGCGAAGGUGCGGGGUGCCAGUGAGAUGCCGAAGGUGAGGACACAGAAUUCUAAGGUUUUUCCCUCGAAGGCUAACCUCAGAAACCUCCGGUGCCCCUCCCAGAUUGGAAUUUGAAAAUAGGCGUCUACCAGUUGCCUACCCAGACAGCCUGCUUGACCCUGGGCACGGUCUACAUUUUACACUUCAGGGCCCUGAGGAACUUGUUCAGCCCCUUGCAGGGGCGCCGCCAGGAAUUUUGGGCCCCAUGAAAAAAAAUCACAUUGGGCCCCCCCUGCGCAGCUGUUGUCACCACAUCUCUAGGACCUAACUGACCCAUUAAAAGCUUUACAUAACUCUAACUUUGAAGGCUUGCAACUGUCUUCCUUCUUGUAGUUCAAUACUACCAGUACAAUAUUUACUGCUACAGUCUGCAUACAGUAUGCAAUUCACUAUUUGAUGCAAGAUUAAAAGCUUUCACAAAAAAUUUGCUUAAGGCCAUCUUUUACAGUCUAAAUGUAAUUUUUAUUGUAAAAUCCCAAAAUGGAAUAUUCUCUUAACAUUAAUGAAAGACUUAAAAAAAUAACUUAAAUAUACAUUAACUUUUCAAUCCCAAUAAAUUGAGAUUAUCAUCUCAAAAUAAUGAAAACAGCAGAUUUUUGAUAAAUCUGUAUCUAUAGAUGUCAUUUAACGGCCAUAAUUCUAAAUGAAAGCAUCUAACUGGAUUAUUUUAAUAUUGCCUGUCACUUUAAUACAGGCAGAGUUAGGCUACUUAAUGUUUCCAACUGUCCAGCAUCCAGUACAGACAGUUGUAGGCUGUUUUUGUUUCAUAAUAAUCAUUAUGUGGAAAAAUAAUUUGUUUGAAUUUCUGUCAUUAAAAAAUAUUUCAUUUUCUUUUUGUAAUGGUUAAAAAGAGCAGGAGAGAGAGAGAGAGAGAAACUCCCACAGACUCCCUGCAACGAUGCUAACUGACAUGUCAUUCACACAGUGUUGCUCACCGUCUUCAUUGGGACGGGGAGGGGUAAAGUUAUGGGGAGACAAGGCUGCUGCUUCUGACUCAUCUGUUGUUGAGUCUGGUAAAAGGGGCAGGGACAACUGAUUUAAUAUGAAUAUCUUGCUAAACAUUUACCUGCACUGAUUAUAGGUUAAAAAGGAGUGAAAUGUAGGCUAACACUAGUCUGUAGCUAGCUUAUUUCACUAUGGACAUUAAGAUAACAAUUUCUACCACUCACAGACUAUAGGCUACCCACCUUUCGUGGAGAAAAACUGGGUCACAUAUUGACACCCUUUAUUUUGCCUCUCCUCUCUCUCCUUUCUCUCUUUCGUUUUCUGAAAAUCAGAUUUUCUUGCUAGGUAGCAUGAUGAUGACUCAGUCUCAAAACUUAUAAGAGGGGCCUCCGCAAUGCCAGAGCAAACUAUUACUCAGCAUUAAUAGAAGAAAACAAGAACAACCCCAGGUUUCUUUUCAGCACUGUAGCCAGGCUGACUGAGAGUCAAAGCUCUAUUGAGCCUUGUAUUCCUUUAGCCCUUAGCAGUAAUGAUUUUAUGAGCUUUUUUAAUGACAAAAUUCUAACUAUUAGAGGCAAAAUUCAUGAC